rnacentral:tRNA from 1 species
GAGGGUAUAGCUCAGUGGUAGAGUGUGUGCUUAGCAUGCACGAGAUCCUGGGUUCAAUCCCCAGUACCUCUG